AAUCAAACCCAAGCAGGACAGAGAAAACGUCACAAAUACAACUGGUUAACAGCAGCCAGUUUGCCAUCCAUCAAGUUAGACAUUUUGACGCAAACACCCAAACUGUUUAUCACACUUUUUCAAAAUUCAGCAUAAAAUCUGGUUUUGUUCUUUGCUUUUGGUCAAGAAAGAGGAAAAAGUCAAAAACAAUUAAUAGUCUGCUGAUUUUUUUUUUUUAAGUUCGGGCUCCAGUCUGAGUUUUGAGAUUGAAAUCUGCAACCCUAAAUUGGGGCAAACAUUCUGAAGAAACUGGUGCAAAUGUCAGAUGGGGUCAGGAUAACCCCAAAAGCUUCAACAAAGGCAGCCAUUGUGUUGCCCUUUCAACUCUAUGUUAUCCGGCCCCCACAAACACACCCACCCACCCACGCAAACACGCUGCCACCGUGAAUGGAGGAUAAUAUUUUCACAGCAAGUCUGUCCAAAUAAAAGAGCAAUUCAGUGGCUCGCAUGUAAAAAUAAACAAUUUUUAAAUGAAAUUUCAACAAAAGUUCAGCAAAAAACUAUUGCUACGAAGGUUUAAGUUGGCCCCUUUAAAAUAAAAAUAAAAAACACUGUUAACAAUUCUGUUUAGCUUUCAUGGCUCAGCACUGACAAUAGCUGCUCUAAAGCAGCAUUAAUUGUGGUAACAAAGAGGCAGAUUGGAGGCAACAACAAUCCAAUCAGCCCCUUCAGUCUUUCUACGCCUGCAUUGUUGCAUCCAUCAGCCUUGAGACAUGAGAUAACCGAUUUGUGUCAGCAUCUAUUACGAUCGCACAAAGUGAUGAGUGAAAAGGGAUCACUGCGUUGAUGUUUGUUGGCAAACUCUCCAGGACUGAUGGCAAAUCUAGAAGCCGCAUCUGGGCUGAUGCAUUAAGGUCAGACAGUCUUUGUUGUCUUCGUGUGUGUAUAGACACCCUUUUUUUGGGCUACUUUGCUCAUCUGCUCCUCUGUAAUUUAGACGCUUUUUAGGACACCAAAAAUUCGAUAAAUUUGGACUUUGGCAGUUAUUAUAUGACUGUUUGUCCAUCAGUAAGUUCAUAAAUCAGUAGCCAUUACCCAUAUUAGCUUAGAUCUGGAAGCUUUUCAUUUUUUUUAUUUAUGUACCUUUUUUUUUUUUUUUUUACCUUAACCAGUGUAUAGGAGUUGACUAGUAUCAUUUCUGCGCUCUAUUAACUAAUGUCUUAGUCAGACACACCCAUACGGGUGCUGCAGGUUUUUGGAUUGUUCGGGCCCAUGGGGGGUUGUACUGUAGACAGGAACGGCAGCAUCUUAAGGGGAGCGCAGGUGUGUCUUGCAGUUAACCUUAAGGGACAUCAUAGAAAAUGGAACAUACCGUUAAUGUGUGUGAAGUAAGUUUAUUGUGAAGCGUUUGUAAGGCUAACGUACGUUGCCCAAACUUAUGACAUACAAGGUAUGAGUACUGGCCUCUUACUGAACCCUCAUGAAUGCCGCACUCACAGGGUGUGCACAUGAAGUGCCUGUAGGAUGCCUGCACAAACUAUACUCUGAUUCUUAAAUUUUCACAACAGUCAGGCUUCACACAAGGACAACACACUUGUCACGUGAACAGCACUAAUGGGUUCCUUGCGUUCCUUUACACAACUUGGGGUGUUACGAUAAAUGAAAAAUCUGUAUGACAUGCCUACAUCCCCCCUAAUUUACCCUUCCGUGUUGCAUAAGUGUUCACUAUGACCUGUCGCUGGCAGCAUGCCCGUAGUAAAUCAGCUUGAAAAUUUUUACUCUACGGCAUCGCUUAGCGCUCUACAACCUUGAUAUUACGUUGGGGUCACCUGCUUGCCCUGUACAGGUUUGCCCCUUUGUUUUCCUGCACACAGCUUGUAUCCACCGAUAAGGGCAGUUGUGACUAAGGCUUAAUGUGCUUCAAAUUCCCCUUUUUCCAGCUGGUUGCAUCAGGUUAGUGGAAUGACUCUGCCUGUCCUGCACUUAACUCACAACGGUCUUUUAAAAAAUCAAGUGAUGGCCUAAUUAUUCAGACAAGCUUUUAGAGGAUUCAUUCUUAAAAACAACCACGAUGACAGCUGGAUUGUCAUUCACUCACAUGGCCACAAAGUCUAACAUUUUUCCACAUUUUGUGACCUUUAAAUACAUUUUACUCUUCUUUCAACAAUCCUUGUAAUAAAGUUUACGCUUUACUAAAGUUAGGUCAAAAACCAUUAAAAUCCUCACUUUGAACGUCUAAGUUCUUCAUAAAGAAAUAGUCAAAGCUUUCUGAAACGCUUGUGGACCAAAGUCAAGUAUUAUUGAUGUAUGUCUCCAAUGUCUCCAGAGGGAAGCUUUAAUAGAAACUGUCCUGUAAACAUGCGUAAAAGCUCCAGCACCCAUACUCCCACAUUCCCACUCAGCGUGUCUUCUGCUCGUUCCUUCUGCUGAACUUUGGAUCUCUUUCUUGAUUACAACCUCAAGCACUUUUAAGCUAUUUUUUUAAUAGAUUUCUCAGAAAACAUAGUUUCGAUGGUUAUUAUAGCCCAUUAGUGUCUUCUAUUUAUCUAAAUAGAGCUAUUAGGGCUGUAUGGAUAAAACAAAGAGUUCUUUCAUGCUGACAAAGCUUCCAGGUUUGGUAUGUCUUCAUGUCUGUCAGUCUGUCACUGCUCCUCUUUUUCGUUAUUUCAUCAAACAUGUCUUUUUCUCAUAGUUUACUUUUUUUCUUGCACCUGCUCCUCUUACUGUCCAUCUCUGUUCAUCAUCUGCUUCUCAUUUCUUCUUCUUUUCUCCUUCCCACCCUUUCCUUUGCCUUUUUUCUCCUGGACCACCCCUCUCUGCUUCAUACCAGAGAGUGUUUCGCUGACACGAAGAGGUUAUCGUGUUUUGAUCCUCCUGAACCUCUUGUGGCCUCCUUCUCUUCAUGACUAGUUGCUACCCAACAUGGAAAAAGAACGAAGCUAAGUCAUCUGUCAGCCUUUACUGGGACUGGCUUUCACUCAGCAGAUGGAUCUCCUAAGGUUUGUGCGCCCACCUUGAGGGACAUUAUGAAAAUGGAACAUACCAUCGUCAUAAAAAUCGGACUUACCAUCAUCUUGCGUGGGGCUUGAUUCCACCCUCCACCAAUUACCUCCUGGCUGCCUGGUUCCCACUUUCUGUCAUUCACUGCAGAACCACUUUAUCUCAUCGCUCGGGCAGCCGGAGCAGCAGCCACAGAAGCAGCAGAGAGCAAGACGCUGGAGGAAAACGCCUUUCAGGAUCCAAAAGCAAUCCUCCCUUGGACACACAUGCCUCACCUGUGUCUGCUCGCCGCCCUCUGACCUGUCUGUAUGCUGGACUCCACAUACCCCAGACCCGAACAGAGCCGAAAAAAGGCAAAGGCGAGCAGAUUCGAACCGUCCAGACCUCUUUUUGCCGGACUCCGUCCUCAGCUACCGGCUAAAACAGCAACAGAGCCAUGGCUUCACAGCAACAGGGUCCAUUUGGCGACGUUCAGAAGCUGGCCUCCUUUCUACAGCCUAGGGGCCAACUGAUGAAUGUCUGCUCACGCUGGGGCACUGGAUCGUACUGUGCAAAGAUGCAUGAAAGUGCGAGAGAAAUGUGACCACGCUGACUAACACCAGGUGGUCGGUGGCUGACUGUUUGGGGAGCAGAAAGAAUUCAGCCCAUUUGUUUACUUGACCUUGGCCCGCUGUUAAAUGAUUAUGACUUACAGAGAAGCUGUUUACAGAGAAAUCCAACCUGCACAGUAGCAUUAUUUGGCUCUGUUGCUUUUAAACUUCAGUUUCAUUUUCUGCUAAAAAAGGAUAUUUUGCAAACAUGAAAAUAAAAAAUGUGGAAAAACAA